CUGGAGGGAAUAUUCACCUUCUUGAAUAUUUAUCCCGCCGCCCCCAGGCGGGUGCUGCCCCGCCACUCGCACCUCUCGGCCUCGCAGCGCGGCGGCCUCUCUCGUGCCUUGCUUUCGCCUUCAAAAAUAAAGUGAAUGGCCUCCUCUUCCCCCACCCCCCCGUCUCUUUAUUUUUUUCCUCGUUAAAUCAGAGCUAUCUGGGGGUAAAAAAAAAAAUAAAAAAAGAGGAAAAAUAAGUGGCUCCUCCUUGAGUUGUCCCAAUCAUUAGGUGAAGCCAAAGCAAGCUCUAGGAUGAGUCCAGCCCAGCAGCAGGCGGGUAGGCAUUUUUUUUCUCCAUUUCUUUCUUAUUCUUCUCUUUUUCAUCCCACCUCUCCCCCCCACCCCCCAACCACACACACCCCGUCCUCUUAUCUCAGCUGUGUACAAACUGAUACGGUACUUAGCAGGAAAGUGACUGGAAAUUAAAAUAACUUCGUUCACCAGGGGUUAUCAGCUGGAUAUCUGUCAUCAUCAGUUUGUACAGAAAGAGUCCUCCGCGGCAAGGGCUGGGCUAGAGCGGAGCCGGGCUCCCCGCAGCCGGCCGCGCUGCCCCCCGGCACACGCGGCUCCCAAGCCGCCGGGCUGCUCGCGGGCUCCGAGCGACUCUUCCAAGGCAAGGUGAACGGGAGGCGAGGCGUUUGCAGCACCGGGGAGGUUGUAAAACGCCGCCUGAGGGGCAUGAAGUGCCUGCAGCCCCUGGCAGGAGGUUGGAGACAGACGCAGGGAAGUGAGGCAGCAGCAAACAUUUGGAUUCUCUCUCACACUCAUCGGCAGGUCUGAGGAGGACGUAGGAAAGUGCGUGCAGCGGGUGUUUGGGGGCAUAUGGUCAUUGGUUUUGAUGGCCUCAAGAAGCACAGCUGAGGGAAGCUGUCAGCUUUCCCUCCAAAUGCCCUUAACAUGAUACCCCAGUGCAGUACAACUCCCCACAGGUCCCCAGCCUGUCUGUAAUGAUCACAGCUUUAAGUAACAUUAUAUAAAUGAAAAUGUUUCAAUUUCUACACAAUGUUAAACUCCUUCCCUCCAAAAACUCUCACAUCUGUCAAAACAUUUCCUUUUAUCCAAAAUAAAGCCUUUCACUUUC